GUCCUUGAUGGCAGGGAGGAGGUCUGAUUUAUUGGCAUGUCCCCAGGGCCUAGAAGAUGGAGAAGCACAAAGUACAUGCUUGCAAACUCUAGACUUCUGCAUCAGACCAAAGGUCGUUACUUAUUCAAGAAACAUUGAUCACCACCUAUCAUGUGCCAGGCAAGUAGUGAAGAAUCAGCACAAUGGAAGCACAAGAAAUGGAGAAUUGCCAUCGAAGGUCUGGGUUUAUCAAGAUGAAAAAUGACCAGCUGGUAAACCUCCCUAACAUCUGACCCAGAGUGAGCUUCUGAAGAAGGGUUGGGGGACAUCUGGGUCAAAAUUAAAACUGUGCACAUGAGAAC